GUCGGUAGCUUACAUCUUUCUGCGGCCCCAGCCCCUCGGCCAGGCUGAGGAAAAGGGGGUGAGGGGUGGCGGUCUGGGCUUCCCUAAUCCCCAGCACCUCCCUUGCCCACCUCAGCCUCUCCCCCUUGGUCUCGGCCUCAUCUGCUCUCUUCUCCUCUCUUCUCCUAUCUUCCAUCUCCUGCUUUCGUUCCCAUCUGCUUCCAGCCCUUCCUGGCUGCCAUUGAGGGGGUGCUCCCCAGUGAUUCUCCCAUCUGGAUCCAGAUCCAAGCCCCACAGCCUCUCUGGGCGGCCCCUGCUGCUCCCCAUGCAGGCUCUUCUCGCUGGUCCCCCAGGAUCCCAGCCCCAGCACAGCCCCCUCUGAGGCCUCCACUCCAAAUGCCAGCUGGGUGCCCCGAUAGUGGGGCCCAGGCACUUGGGACCUGGGUGUGAGGCUGAGCCGGGCUCAGCCAACACAGCCCACCCCAGUCGAGGAAUGGGAUGGUUUUGAGUGCGUCCACUAUCUCUUCUGCUGCUGCCUGAUCCUGAGAGAGACGCAGUUAUAUUCCUCUCAGAGGAGGAAACUGAGGUUCCAAGGGGGUUCUUGGUCACAGCCACCUUGGUUCUGCCAUAGCUUGUGACGGAAAGCAGAACGCAGGAUGGACGUGGCGCGUGACCUGCUCAGCCUCGCUGACCAAGUGCCUGGCCCAUCUGCCGCCUUGCUGUGCUGCCCCUCCUGUGAGGCAGGGGUCAGAACACGCUCAUGCAACAAUUCCGCGAGACUGCGGCCAGCAAAGCAGGCUCCCAUCUGCAGGCUGUGAGAGCCCCAACGUCCACUGUCACAGCCCCCAGAGUGUUGGUGCUUUGAUCCUCAGCCAGAGAAUACCCACGGACCCCUGCCUGGCUGCGGCCUCUUUUGGGCAGAUGGCAGGACCCAAUCCACUCUGAGUCUGCAGCCAUGAACCUGGAAUUUCCCCAGCGCAGAAAUGAGGUGGAGCGCCAGCAGCUCAGGGGUGCCGGGAGCCGAGCACAGGAGCCCCCUGGGGUGCUGAGCCCAGGAAACCCGCAGCAGCUGGGCAGCGUGGUGCUCCCCAAGCCCAUUCGGCCCCCACAUCUCCAGGCCAUGCUGUCCCUGAGUGAUCCAGGCAAAUGGAGUAUGGAGCCCACCCCUGGGGGAUGGGCAGGCCCAGUUCUCCAUCUUCAUAAACAGUGAGUGCUGACCAGAGGCCACACCAGGGCAGAAGCUGGAUGGAGGCAGCUGAGGUGACUUUAAAAACUGGGACUCUGAGUAUCUGUGGGGGCUGCAUGUUGGUCAGGAUUUGUUUUCCAGAAUUCUCUCUGAAGAACAGGAGAUGCUGGAAGCUGGCAGGGCACCCAUGUGGCUCUUGUCGUUAGAAGGAGAAAGGUCCAGGCUGGAAAGGGCCCCUCCCCACUCCCUGUAGGUGCUAAGGGUCUUGGUUGGGCCCUCUGUUCCCCACAAGGAAGCAGUGGGCGUGGGGUCACCUCCAACAUUGCACUGGGGCUGCGGCACCCCUGGGCCAUGCAGGAGGCACAGUGUGGGGCACUCUAGAGGCCUUGAGUGAGUCGGGUCUGGAGGAGGAGGGGGCACAGACAGAGGUGGGGGCAGCGGAGGAAGCCGCGGGUGUGGGAGAGGCCCCAGGCCAGGGACCGAGGUGCAUGUGGGUGCAGGGGACAUUUGCAGGCUGGGCCAUCUGGAGGGACGGCGGACACGUGGCAGUAAGAGAGAAGACAGCGCGGUCUGCCUGGCGUCCGCUUUCUAGGUUGGUGCUGGGUGAGAUGUGCUGCUCAGAUCGUUCCUAGAAGCACAGAACACCCAGAUGUCCCUUCAGGGUCUGUCUCACCUUCAGAGUCACCUUUCCCACAACCCUGUCCUUCUGGGAAAGAUGGAGUCUAGUGACUGAGGAAGGCUGGACCGUGCAGGCCUCCCCACAGUGCCAGCCGAAUAGGCCCCUUGUGUGCCAGAUCUUCCCGCGGGUCACACGGCCCCGUGGGGCCUGCACCACACGUCAGCCCUACCCGCUUCCCUUCGCACGCGCUGGUCCUAAACACCUUCACACCCAUAUCCGGUCCCAAUUCUGCUUCCAGAGACAUCCGAACAUGUGGUACCGUUUGAUGAGAAACCCAAAUCUCUCGCAACAGUGGGAUUCCUUCCCCAUCCCCACGCCUCACGCUCUUGUCCUCACGUGUUCUAUGACUCAGACCCCACGAAGCUCAGGGUGCUGGACACGCACGCGUGCAGAUUUGCCGUUUAAAAGAGAUGACGAGGAGAAGACAGGCGCCUUGCUCACCUGCACGGUCACACGUGGGCUGUGCCCCCCUGCCCUUCCGCGAGUUCCUUACCUUGUGCAGAUCACGCAGCUUUAGCACGUUUUGUCAUGCGGCUCUUAGGACGGCAAAUUUUCUCAGUUUCGUUUACUUCAGAGCACUUUUAUUUCACCUUCACCUUCACUCUGAGGAUUUCUUGCUGGAUUUGGAGCCGUGGGGCGGCUCCUUGCUUUCAUUCCUCUGCCCUCUGCCCUCUGCCCUCUGCCCUCCGCCCUCCGCCCUCCGCCCUCUGCCCUCUGGUUUUUGAUGAGGAGGCACCAGCAUUCAGCACCUCUGGCCGCCCUUUUCUCCGGCUUCUUCCAAAUUGUCUUCAGUUUUCAGCAGUUUGACUGUGCUGUGCCUACAUGUGAGUUUCUGUUUAUCCUGUUUGAAGUUAGCCGAACUUCUUGUGUCUAUAAAUUGAUGCUUUUCACUACGUCCAGGGAAGUUUAGGCUGUUAUUUCUCUAAAUAAUGUGUUUGUGCUCCAAUCUCUCUCUCCUCCCAUUCGGAGACUCCAAUUACACAUGAAGUUGGCAAUUUUACAUUGUUCUGUAAAUGGCUUGGCUCUGUCUCUCUCUUUUAGUGUUUUUAAAAUUUCUGUUAUUUAGAUGAUGACCACUGCUCUGUCUUCAAGUUCAUUAAUCUUUUAUUCUAUAAUUGCAAUAUGUUGUUAAGCCUAUCCAGUGUAAUUAGUUUUAUUUUGUUUUGAGACAGGGUCUC